rnacentral:rRNA from 1 species
UACGUAGGGUGCAAGCAUUAUCCGGAGUGACUGGGCGUAAAGAGUUGCGUAGGUGGUUUAAUAAGUGAAUAGUGAAACCUGGUGGCUCAACCAUACAGACUAUUAUUCAAACUGUUAAACUCGAGAGUAGCAGAGGUAACUGGAAUUUCUUGUGUAGGAGUGAAAUCCGUAGAUAUAAGAAGGAACACCAAUGGCGUAGGCAGGUUACUGGGCUAUUUCUGACACUAAGGCACGAAAGCGUGGGGAGCGAACCGG